rnacentral:rRNA from 1 species
CGGCUAAAUGAGGACAAAGCUGUCUCUUACGGCCUAGCCAAUGAAAUUGAUCCUCCAGUACAAAAGCUGGAAUAAACUCAUAAGACGAGAAGACCCUGUGGAGCUUUAAAACCAAGAUCAUUAAACUAUGCUCCUUGGAUUUUUAGUUGGGGCGACUUUGGAGCAAAAAAAACCCUCCAAAACAUAAAUUUAAUUAUUUAGACCAACACACCAAGAAAAUUAUAUUAGACCCAGCAGUAUUUUUUACUGUCUGACCAAUGAACCAAGUUACCCCAGGGAUAACAGCGCUAUCCUCUUCUAGAGUCCCUAUCGACAAGAGGGUUUACGACCUCGAUGUUGGAUCAGGACACCCCUAUAGUGCAGCCGCUAUAAAAGGUUCGUUUGUUCAACGAUUAAAGUCCUACGUGAUCUGAGUUCAGACCGG